UCUUGAACUCCUUGUUUUUCUUGUCCCACUUGUGGAUGGCGGUCAGCAGGUACUGGCUCUUGACCUUGCGGCCCAUGAUGAGGAAGUGGUGGCUGAGGUUGUCCAGCUGGUGGCAGGGGCAGUCGGCCCCGUUCUUCAGGAGAAAGUUAUUGGUUUAGUUUUUUUUUUAACAUCCAAAGGACCUAAAAUUCAGGCUCUGGAAAUAAGACAGAUAAGACCUAUGUGUGUGCUGACAGCAAGGGAAAGCUAACCGCAUCAAACAUCAGUGUCCGACUUCAGCAUCUGGACUGUGGUCCCAACCACGGUGCCUCCAGGAAGUUCAGACAGCAGGUACCACGGACAGGCUGUCCACCACUCAUCUACCA